rnacentral:lncRNA from 1 species
UACCUUGACCUAAUAAAAUUAGGUUCAAUCUUUGAUUUUUUAUUUUGAUUAACCCAUCCAUUUGAAAGUGUUUCAUUUAGAUUUACCCAUCUCCACACCAAACCAAAUGCAAAGAAUAAAUGCCAUGCCCCAUUUAUUUAGACGUUUAAGAGGAGAAGUUCUUCUCUUUUACUCUGCUUAAAUUUCCUUCUUUAUUUCCAUGCAUUUUUAAUUUCUCGUGUCAUCUGAUGACCCUUGGGAAUUAUGGGUGUAGAAG